rnacentral:misc_RNA from 1 species
GAAUUACGUUUCCCCGAAGCUAUUUGAUGUGAUAGAGUAGACAUUGGAUGGAAGUUUGAAGGAUCACGUCAGAAGAGGCGUGACCUCCUGGCGUUGAAUUAUUAUAUCCUUCGUUUUGUUGUACAAUGGAUAUAGACAUUUUGAUUAGUAGGUUGGCUUGUUGUAUAUAGAAUAGAUCCCUUUUAGGAACUAGCCAAUCAAUGUACUAAUUAACCAUUGGAAGAUUCAUCUUCACUGGCUUGACGAAAAUUGAACAGCUUCCUUCAUGUAGUCAUAGAUG